UGACGGUACCUUGAUAAGAAGCACCGGCUAACUACGUGCCAGCAGCCGCGGUAAUACGUAGGGUGCGAGCGUUAAUCGGAAUUACUGGGCGUAAAGCGUGCGCAGGCUGUUUUGUAAGUCAGAUGUGAAAUCCCUGAGCUCAACUUAGGAACUGCGUUUGAAACUACAAGACUAGAAUAUGUCAGAGGGGGGUAGAAUUCCACGUGUAGCAGUGAAAUGCGUAGAGAUGUGGAGGAAUACCAAUGGCGAAGGCAGCCCCCUGGGAUAAUAUUGACGCUCAUGCACGAAAGCGUGGGGAGCAAACAGGAUUAGAUACCCUGGUAGUCCACGCCCUAAACGAUGUCUACUAGUUGUUGGUGGAGUAAAAUCCAUGAGUAACGCAGCUAACGCGUGAAGUAGACCGCCUGGGGAGUACGGUCGCAAGAUUAAAACUCAAAUGAAUUGACGG
rnacentral:rRNA from 1 species